GUACUUAUCCGGCAGGGGAGAUACCAUGAUCGUGAACGUGGUUUUCCCAGGGUGAGGCUUAUCCAUCGCACCCAGAUGUGCCGACCCCUACGAUUUCCCCAAAUUUGGGAAACACAACUUCAUAAUUUGUGGUAGUGGGGGACUGCGUUUGCACUUUCCCCUG